CUCCUCUUCUUGUCCGAACUCAGAAGAAAUAGCAACGUUGGGAACGAAGCGAGAGGAAAAGGGUUGUCGGAGAACUCCCAAGGAGUGGAAAAAUGAAGUGGGAAUUGAAAUGGGCUUGGCAUGUAACCUGAGAGAAGAGGAAGAGGGAGAGACAAAAGAGAGAGAAGUGAGUUUGUUGGGGUUGCAAAAAGAGUUUUGGCGUUGAGAGAAGGAAGAGCCAGAUAAGAGGCUGAAGCAGUAGACAUGGCUCUUCUUCUGGACUUGUAAGGAUAGAAAGAGAGGAAGAUAAGAUUUUCA
rnacentral:misc_RNA from 1 species